GAUUUUGGGCCGAAUGCCAUAAUC
rnacentral:siRNA from 1 species